AUGCAAUAAUAUUAUAAGUAGCUAAGCCAAAUCCAACUCAAAUUCUAUCUCUCAUUACCAGACAUAGCAUGAUUAAAUCAAAGAAACUGAUGAAGAUUGUACGAAGGUGGCAGAAGUCAGCUACCAGAGCUGGGAAGAGAUUUGUUUUGUCUGAUAGAAACAGCCGCAGGAAGAGACAUAUUUAUUGGCUGAGGAAAGCCAUUCGAUAUCUGAGAUCAGACAAUGAUCAUUAUCAGCAUGACAAGAAGAACGUACUUCCAGUUGUUGGCAUCACCAAUCUUCUUGAUCUCGUACAGCUAAUUGUAUCUUGGUAAGAUGUAAUAUUAAUGAUUUCUUUUUUAAAAAAAUAUUGCACACAUCCAGCUAUAAAAAUCAAUAACAAUAAAGCUCAUAAUAGAAAUAACAUUGCUUUUCAUUAUAUUUAGAUUCGGUGAAUUUAAAAUUUUAAAAAAUAUUUUUUUAAAUAAAUCAUUUUAAAUAUUAUUAAAAAUAAUUAAAAAAAUUAUUUUAUAAUUUCAGUGUUAUCAAGACUAAAAUAUAUUUAAAAAUAAUUUUAAAUUAUUUUGUAAAUAUUUUUCUUCUUUCUAGGCGGAGUGACUAGUUGGCCAUCGAUAAGAGCUGAGCUCCAGUUGAUCGGAAUUCCUAAAUUGUGUCUUCACUACUUGUAGACCGUCUCUCCAUUUAUAAAGGAGGUGAAAAUAAUAGUAACUAUUGUAUCGAUAAUAAAGUAUAAUUAUUAUUUUGUUUUAAAAUAAAAUAGGUAGUUUUUUUAUAAAUUUUUAUAUUUAAUUUUUAUUUCUUGAAUUUAAAGUGAGACCUGUUACUUUCGUUAUUCAUUUAUACAACUUGACUGAUCAUGCAUAUUGUUUCUGUUGAAAAAGUAUCGGAUGAUCUUGAAAACUUACUUAAUUUGAAAGUGUUCAAACCAGGAUGAUGUUGAAAUGCGGAUCCGUGCAACCAUCCUAAUAAUGAUAAUGACAAGCAAGCCCUUACUGAUUAAUUUAAUUUUUGUUUUUGUAAAUGGAGAUGGAUAACUGAGAGAGUAAAUCUCAUAUUUUUAGAUUUAUUUAUUUAUAUUUAUUAUCAAACUAAAAUUAUUAAUAUUUAAUAAAGGGAAAAUUACUUCUUAGUCCCUCAGGUUUAACGUAAUUAACACUUCUGUCCCUCUAUUUUGGCGACCCAACACUUAAGUCCCUCACUUUCUCUUCCGUCCAAUUUCGAAGUCCUUCCGUUCAUUUAAACCGUUUGGUCAAAGAGUCAAAAGUGAGAGGUGAUAAUUUUUUCCAGAAAUACCCUUCUCUUAAUGUGAAAUUCUUUUUUUUUUUUUUUCUCUUUCAUGCUUUCUCCCGUUGCAGAAGAAGAAGAAGAAGAAGAAGAAGAAGAAGAAGAAGAAGAAGAAGAAGAAGAAGAAAAAGAAGAAGAAGUUGCUGGGUAGGAAAGAAGAAGAAGAAGAAGAAGAAGAAGAAGAAGAAGAAGAAGAAGAAGAGGGUUAAUUUUGUCAAUUCACGUGUCCCAAACGGCUAUUUUGAACGGAAGGACUGCGAAAUUGGACGGAAGAGAAAGUGAGGGACUUAAGUGUUGGGUCGCCAAAAUAGAGGGACAGAAGUGUUAAUUACGUUAAAUCUGAGGGACUACAAAGUAAUUUUCCCUUUAAUAAAAUUUAACUUUAAUUGAUAAAAAUAAAUAUUUUAUUUUUAUUAAUAAAUAGCUUAAAAAUUGCAAAAUAAAAUUAUAGUGAAAUUAUUAAAAAAAGAGAUAUGAAAAUCGUUGAUGGUAAAUAUUUUGUUGAUAAUUCUGGAUGUCUUGUCAAUAUAAAAGCUGAUAAGAAAGUUAAAUUUAAUAAUAUUGAUGACUUGGCAUAAAAAAUGAUGUUUAGUAAUAAAUGUGUAGAAUAUACUAAUAAAAUGCAUCUUUCAUAUUCUUAAGAAAAAACAUUGAGUUAUUGAAUAAAUUCAUCAGUAUUAAUUAAAGGAUAAUUUUUUAUUUCUGUUAAAAUAAUUUUCUUAAAAUUAAAAAGUAUUAAAUUUUUUAUUAAAAUAAGAUAAUUAAUAAAAAAGUGGGACAUAAAAAAACAAAUGCUAACCGAAAGGGCUUCCAGGUUUAUUAGUAUUCACAUUGUACAAUGCGUUGAAGGAGAAAGAAUAGGUCACUUUAUAUUAAUUUAUUAAACACAUAAAUUAAAACUGCAAUUGAUUGAACCCUUAAAUUUUAAUAAUUAAAUAUAAAUUAAUUAUAUUAUUUAUAAUUUAUAAUAAAAUGUCAGCUAAAUCGAUUUAUUAUUAAUUAUAUUUAAUUUUGUUGAUUGGAUUAUAAAUUUUUAUAAAAUGUGACUUUAUUAUUUUAUGAAAAUUUAUAGUACAAUUAAUAAAAUUUAGAAUAUAAUCAAUAAUAUGUAUGAUUUUUUUAUAAAUUAUAAAUAAUAUAAUCAAUUUAUGUUUAAUUGUAAUAAUUUUUAUAAAUUUAAAAAUCGAAAAUUUUAAUUAAAGUAUUUAAUAGAUUAAUUUCAAUUAAUAUAAAGGUAUAUAUUUAAAAAAUAUUUCUUAUAACAAAAAUUAAAUUUGUUUCUUUGAGAAUUAUAAUUAUAUUAAAACAGAGGAUUAUUAAAUUAUAUUACCGAAUAUAAUUUUAAUUGCUAUAAUACAUACUCCAAGAAAUUAUAUAGUACGUAAUUAUAUAUGUCUUUAUCUACAUGGUUCAUUUCCUUUCAAUUAAUGAUGUCUUUAAUUAAUUGGGAUAAAAAAUUUUUGAUAUUUUAUUUCAUUUUUAUAAAUAAAAUAAUCAAUAUUAUUGAUAUUUAGAUACAAUAAAUAUAAGGUCAUAAUGUAUUUUUAUAAAUUUAAUGUGAUUAUUUUCGCUUUCUUUUAUUUAUUUAUUUUCUAUUUUAUCGUAAUAUGUAGUGAUUGAAUAUUCAUUAUAAUAUUUCAAAUUGAAGGCAAAAGAUAAUGCGAUACUCUCAUGCAGCAUGAAAUUUUAAUGUAUGUUUUUGAGCCAAUUUUAAUUCAAAGUAAGUUAUAAUAUAAUAUUCUAAUUUAACUUUCAAAAAUUAAAAAACUUAUUUGUUCUAAAUUAAAACUUUAAGAACAUAUAUGUUUGGGUAUAUUUAAAAAUUUGUAUAAAAUUAUUAUAUAUAGUAUUACAUAAAUAUGUUUCAAAUAAAAAAAAACAACUAUAUUCCUUCUGUAUUUAUAGGUUUAUUUUCCUUUCUUAUCUUUUUAAAUUAAUUUAUUUGUAAAUUUAAUUUCCUUUUAAAAUAAUCAUUUAUUGAACUUUAUAAUAUACUCUUAUUUAACAUGAAUUAAAAAAAAUAAAAUUUAUUAAUUUUAACAAUAAUUUAGUAAUGAAAUAGUGUGAAUAAAGAGUAUAUUAGAAAAAGAGAAUAUAAAAUAUUUAUUGUUUUAAUUUUAUUAAUUAAUUUUUUAUUUUAUAUAAUAAUUAUAUCCCAAUUUUGUUGCAGGAAGGAGCAUACAGUUGGUAAGCCAACUGCAGAGGGCUCCAUCACCUUAUAGGAGUAGGUUAUGUAUUUAUUAAUAUUCAUUGCUAUGUGUAUGAGCCACGUGGAAUAUUAAUCAUGUUAUUAUAAUACAAAGCUCAAAAUCAUAACAUGG
rnacentral:lncRNA from 1 species